UAGAUACAUUUGUUGUGGACGACAAAAAAGGGCAGCGUAUCGAAGAGUUGCAACACCUGGACCUUCGGAAUGAAUUAUCUAUCUUCAAUCUUGGGAACUUGAGAAGUAAAAAGGAAGCAGAGGAGGCAAAUUUAAUGGGAAAAGAAAAGCUUGAUGCGUUGUAUUUAUUAUGGAAAAGUCAUGUUUGGGGAAGUGAUAAUAGAUCAAUGUUUGGUGUUGAUAAAGAUGAUGAUGCAUUGGAAGGUCUUCGACCUCCUUUGAAUCUAAAAAGACUAUCCAUCGUAAACUUUGGAGGUCAAAACUUUCCACGAUGGAUGAUGAGUGGGUGUGAAUUGUUUCUUCCCAAUUUGAUGCAACUCCAUCUACAUGAUUGCAAAAGAUUGGAGCAUGUCCCUCCACUUGGACGGCUACCAUCUCUAAAGCGUCUUCAACUAAAAGGACUUCAAAGGAGGAAAAGGUUUGGCAGUGUAUUCUAUCAUGGGAAUGGUAGCAACAGUCAAGCUAUGACUACUACAACAGUAUUCCCUUCAUUGCAAAAACUUAUCCUAUCACAACUUAGAAGAAUGGGUGGAACCGCAGGGCUCAUUUCCUUCAUUCCCUCGCCUUGAGAAUAUAUUUGUAGAAGAUUGCCCCAACUUGACGAUCAUGCCCAGUAAGUUUUCUUCUCUUAAACGAUUCCAAAUCAGAAGAGGCAAUGGCAACUUGCUAAGGUUAGUCGUGGAGGUUCCUUUUCUCACCCGACUGCAAAUAAUUGAAAUAUUACGCAUUGAGAAUUGCCCUGACCUUGAAGCAAUUAUUACCCCAAACGAGGAGGAGGCAGGUGUGCGAGUCUUCCCAUCAUCUCUUGAACAGUUGCAGAUUUUUGAUUGCCCUUCUCUAACGUCAUUGCCAGAUCUACGAGGCCUACACACUCUUCAGAAUUUUUAUUUUUUCAGGAAUGAAAAAGUCACUCGAUUACCAGAGGGUCUACACACCCUCCACACCCUUGAACUGUUGAGUAUUGGUGUGUUUUCAUCCCAGCUGAAGACUUUUCCCGACUUGGAGUCUCUCCAACACUUGCCCUCCCUUCGGCACUUAUAUAUUUCAGGCUGGUCUAAGCUUACAUCUCUUCCUGAGCAACUUCAAAGUCUCACCCAAUUAGAAGUUUUGUUAAUAAAAAAGUUUCAUAGUGUGGCAUCUCUGCCAGAGUGGCUCGGGAACCUUUCAAUGCUUCGAACUUUGCACCUUGAAGAGUGCAAUAAUCUGAUGUAUCUUGAAGGACUACGAUGCUUCACCACUGCACUAAAAAGGUUGAGUAUUAUAAAUUGCCCCCUUCUCAAAGAAAGAUGCACUAGGGAAAGAGGCGAAGAGUGGCCAAAGAUUAAACACAUUCAAUACAUUGACAUUGAUGGCCAAGGGGUGUAGUUGGUGCAGGUAAAAUGUUUGAAGAUGAAGAUGGUGGGUCAGGCUUCAAAGCACUAUGUUGAUUAAGUUUCCACCUACCCAAGCAAGGGGGAAAGAAUUGAGGAAAGCAACUGAGGUGAUCUCCAUCAUAGAACUGAAGAAAAUGGGCAGUACUGAGAAGCUUGUUUUCUAUUGUCUGUGAAGAUUUUUGUUGAGGACAUUUUGAUGCUUACAAUGAUGACAUCGACUCCUCAAGGACAAGAUCACAAAGUUUGAGUAAGAAAAUGAGCUGCUCUGCAAUCAGGCACCGGUUUCUGUGCAGCGGAUAGUUGAUACUUAACAGAUGCAGCCACAAGGAACUAAGGUGCAUUCAUGGUCCAAAUGCCUUUUAUGAUUAAGACUUACUAUGCUUGAGAUUCAGUUCAGUAGCUGACUUAAUCAAACAAUGGAAGUACACAAGACAAUAAAGGAGCCAGUGCCUCCCCCAUAUGCCAUAAGUAAAGAAAAAUCUCUAACAGACAGGGAGCAGGAAAACCAAGAAACUCUAAUAAAGUGCCUCAAGAAAGAUAAAUGGUUUGACAAGAACAGACCUGCUGCUGUGUGUAUUGUCUAUAAAGCACUUCUACAAUGGAUAUCAUUUGAAGCAGACAAGACAAACAUAUUUGAUCGGACAAUUUACGCAAUGCAGUAAUCUAUCGAGGGCUUUCGAUCAUCCUCAGGCAUGGGAAUUUCAAUUGGGUACAGUGGAAGGGUAGGAAAACCAGAUUUCUGAUCAAGAGUUCAAGAAAAAUACCCAGCCCUCCUGUUUAAGCAACAUCUAUCUUCAUGUGUCAAGAACUUGAACCUGUGUAUACAUGAAUCUACAAACAGAAAAGGACUGGAUCUACCUAUGAAUAAAUUCUCAACUGCAACUGCAGGCACUAAGAUCAGCAAGGGCCAGAUCAAUAAGAGCAUCCUCCAAAAUUACUGAAUCAAUAUAGUUGCAAAACAAGAAGCAUCAAGCACCGGCAAAGCAUUGUAGGAAGCGUGGAUUGCGCCUCAGCUACAAUGUGAGAAUUAUGUUUUUAACAGGUUUAUACUUUCAGUCAGGUGUUCUCCUUCGUAAAUGUGCAGCUUUUUGACAGUUUAUUGCUUCACCGUGAGUGCUGUUCAUUUAGCUACAGAGAAUAUGUGAAAGCUGGCUUACAAGAUGGAGCAACAGUUGAGUUUGCUGGAUCCUUAUGGAAUGAACUACAGGACAUAAGGCAGGCUAGUCUUUUCAAAAGUCAGAUAAAUUCUUCAAAGAUGGUGGGUCAGGUUUUAGAGUACUUUUAUUGAUUUAGUUGGGCAAGGGUCAAUUCUGGCAAGGAUCAGCAUUGACAAAAAAGCAACUGAGGUGAUCUCCAUCGUAGAGAAGAAAAUGGGAAGUACUGAGAAGCAUUUUUUUAAUAUGUGAAAGCUUUUGUGGAGGGCAUUUUGAUGUUUAUAGUGAUGAUAUCGACUGGAAUAUUAGAUCUUUGAUUUUUUGAGAUUAGGCAUCUUAAGAGAUCUUUUCGUUUUUUAGCAUUUAUAUUUCAUUUCUAGAUAUCCUCUGGUUGUGAAGUUUGCUUUCCAUAGCUGUAAUGGUUUUGAGUGGUUGAAUAUACCUUCCUGGUUUGGAUGAGGAA